rnacentral:misc_RNA from 1 species
GAAGUCCAGAUUAAUGCAACAAUUGGAUAAGGGAAAUGGGACCCAUGUAGAGUAAAUUUUGGUCUCCCUGGCCUGACCCGCCCGACCCCAGCACAGACACGCACAUCACAGAGCGCACACCAAACCCUAAUCACUCCACCUCUAUCUUCGCCAUUUCUUUCUCUCGUCUCCUAGUUUUAACCGCAAUGCCAUUCAUGGCCCCAUCCCAAGUUCCCGUUUUGCUUCCUUCCAGAUCCAUUUACUGCUUUCUGAGGUUUGCUUAACACAAUAUCUGUACACUUCAUUAACUUAUUGGAGAUUGUGUUUAUUCACUUUGUGGUUGUAGUUGCGGAUAGAAUUGAUUUUAUUUCAAUGUGCUGAUUGUCCGAUUAUGGAACUGUAGAUCUGAAUCUGUGUAUUAGUGUCGUGUUAAUUUUCCCUUUUUGAAGAUGAUUUAAGAUUGAUCUUCACUUUUUUGGAGAUGAAUCACUGGGAAUUGGUAUUUGCUUCCAUCCAAAGUGUAGUUUUUUAGCUUUUCAAGCUUAUGGGUAUUCUUGAUCAGUGAUUAUCAGUUCCUGUCUUGUAAUAAAGUUCAGAUUUUUUUUUUUUAUGUAAAUGUGGGAGUGGUAAGAAUUUUCAGGGGAUCUGCUAUUUCCAGAUUCUCUUUUUCUUUUUUUCCCUUUUGUUUUUUUGGAGGGGGGGUGGGGUGGUGGUGUUUCUUGGUCCUUGACAGUUGGAAAUUUAAGGUGGCAAGAAAGAUGUCUUUCCGUAGCAUACUUCAGGACAUGAGGGGUGAGUUUGGGAGCAUGUCUAGGAAGGGGUUCGAUAUUAAAUUUGGUUACGGGAUGCGAUCGAGGUCCCACAGGGUGGUUCAGGAUAGCUGUUUCAUGCCUGUUGAUGCAUUUAAGCAGAGCUGUUGGGCUAACAUGCCGCCUGAGCUUUUGAGGGAUGUGCUGAUGAGAAUUGAGGCAUCUGAGACUACCUGGCCAUCCCUGAAGAAUGUGGUUGCUUGUGCUGGUGUCUGUAGAAAUUGGAGAGAGAUCAUGAAAGAAAUUGUGAAAACUCUGGAAGAUUCAGGCAAAUUGACAUUCCCAAUCUCCUUGAAACAGGUUUAUUGGCCCUCAUUCAGGUUUUAAAUAAGUUUUAUUUUCUGUUAUUUAUGUGUCUUGCUAGUGUAGUGAAAUCCAGAUGCGUUAGUAACAAUUUGGAAAAUGCUAGUCGUUCUAUAUCGUUAUAUUAAACUAUGGAACAAUAGUGUUUUAUAAUCAGUUGCUGGAUUAUAGUUGUGUAUCAAUGUGAUGGGAAUAAUUAUAGUUAUUUGACUCUUCCUUUGAUGAAAAUUUCAGCCAUCUUGCGGCUCUACUAUUAAUUUUAAUGCUGUGAAAUUACAUAGUUGUCUUUACUUACUUUACUUUGCAAAAUUUCAGCAAUCACAGGGGAAGGUCUCACCUUUUCUCCCACUUAUAUGAGGGGUACUUGCUUUUUCUUUGGAUUUUAAACAUAUUACUUGGUUUUGCUUGUUGUCAUUGAUGGCAAUGGCUUGUUGAGUUAUGCUAUAAUAAGGUUAUUGUCAUAAUGAUGCUCUGAAAUAUGUCUACUUGGAUUGGCAUGCUUUAUAUUUUCUGAGUUGAUAUUCUUUCAAAGAUCAUAAAGUUCCUUUUUGUAGUGGUGGAAUUAUGGGCUUCUUGGAGUUUUCUGUAAUGCCAUGAGUAGAAACUAUUUGAACACCUCUCUCUCUCUUGUUAUAAAAAUUGUAAAUGGAAAUUUUAACUUCUGUUAUCUAAGAUCUAAGGCAUUUAUGUUUUCCCACUACUGCUAAUUUCAAAGUUCUUGGGUUAUUUAUUUUUGCAGCCUGGUCCAAGGGACUCCCUCCUUCAGUGCUACAUUAAACGGAAUCGUAGCAACCAAACAUAUUAUCUGUACCUCAGCUUAAAUCAAGCAUCAAAUGAUGAUGGUAAGUUUCUUCUUGCUGCACGAAGGUGCAGAAGGCCUACUUGCACAGAUUACAUUAUAUCUUUAAACUUUGGUGAUGUGUCCAGGGGAAGCAGCACUUACAUUGGAAAGUUGAGAUCCAAUUUUCUGGGAACCAAGUUCACAAUCUAUGAUGCACAGCCUCCAAAUUCUGGAGCCAAAGUUGCUAAAUGUCGCUCCACCAGGAUAGUUAACAUGAAACAGGUCUCCCCCAGGGUCCCUGCAGGGAACUGUCCUGUGGCCCAUGUCUCGUAUGAGCUGAAUGUCUUAGGUUCAAGGUAAGAGAGGUGUUUCUUGAAACUUUCUGCUUGUUUUCUAGGGAAUAUAAUUAUGUUCAGCAAGGAAAAAAAGAUAUUGAAGCAUGCAUUCUGGUGAAUAUUGUUUGUUCCUCUUCCUCUAUGGAGGAUGGAUAUUUAGUUUCACACUAUAAUUUUCCGGGUGCCAAAUCUAUGUGAUAUUCAGAGGUCCAAGGAGAAUGCAAUGCGUUAUGGAUGCCAUCCCUGUCUCUUCUAUUGAACCUGGUGGAGUGGCCCCUACGCAGACUGAAUUUCUGCAUACCAAGUUGGAUUCCUUUCCAUCACUUCCCUUUUUCAGAUCAAAAUCCACCCGAGCAGAGAAUUUCCAAUCUGGUCCUUUGGCUGGCUACAAGGAUGAAAUGCUAGUGUUAAGGAACAAGGCACCCAGGUGGCAUGAACAACUCCAGUGUUGGUGUCUGAACUUCAAUGGGCGGGUGACUGUUGCUUCAGUUAAGAACUUUCAGCUGGUUGCUUCUGCAGAGAAUGGAGUUGGCAGGCAAGAGCAUGAGAACGUAGUACUUCAGUUUGGAAAAGUGGGAAAGGAUGUGUUCACUAUGGAUUAUCAAUAUCCUAUCUCUGCUUUCCAGGCAUUUGCUAUAUGCCUUAGCAGCUUUGACACCAAGAUCGCUUGUGAAUGACCGACAAGCAGGUGUGAAUCCAGUGGCUUGCUUGAACUCUCGAUUUUUGAAUUCAUGUGGAGAGGCCUUUCUGAUCAUAUUGAUUUUGCUGUUUUUGCUCUUCUGAACCUACUGAAGUUUGUUUUUUCGUUUAGCUUAUUUGUCAUCUGUUGUGCAUAAUUGUCAUUCUGAGCCUGUUGUUGUUCAGUGAACUCUUUUUCUAGCAAUGCCAUCUGUCAAUCUAUUAACUUUCAACCUUAUGGUUAACUGCUGUAAUAUUUUUGUAGUGAAAUGCAUUGCCUGAUGUCUCUUUGCCUGGCUUUGAAAUUUAGAUUGAUGUAGAUCAUAGGGCUUUUAGCAUUUUUUAACCCUAUUAAUAUUCUUCUACACCUCUAAUGAGAAAAUAACAAUUGUCUUUCAAUUGGCCUUUCAAAGGUAUUAUUUGGUUACCAAGUCAUUUUGGUAACUUGGUAUUUGGGUACAUCAAUUGCUUUGGACUACACUGGUUUUAACUUUUUGUCUUGAAUGUGUCAUGGGUGCACCCCUCCGCCUCCCCUCGCCUUCCUUCUCCAAAUCCUUCUUGACCUUGUGCCCUAUUGCUAUUAGCAUUUAGCAAAUGAUUUGAAGUUGCUGCAUUUUUCCUUACAGGAGCAUUUGUUGGCUUGUAGCUGUAUGGCAUGGGAGCAUUCUGCAACAAAGUUUCUGACUAGUUCAAUCUGUUUACUUCUAAUUGCCCUGUGAAGAGUUAGGAUUUUUAUUUUUUGAAUUAUUUCUGUACAUAUUAACUGUUUGCAUUAUGAGCCAAAUGUGCUCCAAUCUGUAGGUUGUGCUGUGGCUGACAAACAUCAUCACUUGGUUCAUUGUGUUGGAUACUUGACACCUUAACAGGGAGUUGUUUGAGAGUUCACGCGUAGUUUUCCUAGUCGAAGGCUACUGUUGCUUCAGAUGUUGUAUUCCUACUUAUUGUGUAGCUUAAGAAAUGCUUCCCUUGUUGAACAACUAGAAACUUAGGAUUUGCUAAUUUUGUGUGCUUGCCAAAAUUAUGUGUACAUGUCUGUAUUACCGUUGGCACUGCAGAAGUCAUGGUUGAAUUAUGGCGCAAAACAACUAUAGAUAUGAUGCAGAUUCAUUUAUUCUCACAUUGACAUUGUGCUUUGGCACUGGAUGCCCCAAAAUCUUUGCCUUAUGUUGAGGGUGGGAUGUGGGAUCAGACUAGGCAAGUAAAUCUAUUGGCCCCCAAAGGAAUAUGCUGUGAAAAUUUUUUAUGCAUGCGGAAGCAAGGGGCUGAUUUUACUGAGAAAUAGAACAUCCGAAUGACCAUUUGAACUUGGCAUGUUGAAAUGGAUGUGUUUUCUCCUUCAAAUCUGAGAAAUGAGGAGGACUUGUCCAUGUCAAAUAAAAUAAAUGAAAGGAACGAAAACGUGCUUAUCCCAUCAAAUUAGAAAUAUAUGUUCUGUAACAUAUUCAGGCACAGCUACAAUCUGUAAUCAUACCACCUGUAAAAUUGAUUCAGUUGCUGAUUGGUAUAAAAUAUUAAUAUCAAUAAACAAGAUAUUCAUACAUUCAAAGCCCUGUCUGAAGUGGAGCAGAGACCUUCAAAGUAGGGAUGAUAAUGUGUUGGAUAAAAACACUAAUUAAAUUCAAAUUCAGAUAGAGUGAUAUUUAAGAUAUUCUAUAAAUUGCUAUCCCUACUCCAAAUCAGUGUGGUCAUAAGCAUCCUAAAUAAUUGACCAUGAUUUAAAGCUAUAGGGUAAACAACAAUUUAAGAAAUUAUCAGAGAAGAACAGAAAUGAAAGAGCUUCUGAGCAAGUUUACAGAGAAGGAAACCGUUAUUCCAUGACUGAAUGGAUCAGCAGAGGAUCAGAAUAGUGGGGGUGGGGGUCCACCAGGACCAGGUGGACCAUAUGGACCGCGAGGUCCACCAAAGCAAUCCUGUAUCAACCAACAACAGCACAAGCAGUAGAACAAAGAAGAUACCAUGCUGCAUAAACCAUCAGCAAGCCCUCCAAAAAAACCACCAGGUCCAGGACCCCAAGGCCCCCCAGGACCCCAGCCAGGUCCUCCAGGUCCAGGACCCCAGCCAGGUCCUCCAGGUCCAGGACCCCAGCCAGGUCCUCCAGGU